CAGCACCUCAAGUGGUCAGGAUGAUUAUUGGGCCUAAAGCAUCCGUAGCCGGCGCUGUAAGUUUUCGGUUAAAUCUGUACGCUCAACGUACAGGCUGCCGGGAAUACUGCAAAGCUAGGGAGUGGGAGAGGUAGACGGUACUCGGUAGGAAGGGGUAAAAUCCUUUGAUCUAUUGAUGACCACCUGUGGCGAAGGCGGUCUACCAGAACACGUCCGACGGUGAGGGAUGAAAGCUGGGGGAGCAAAACGGAUUAGAUACUCGAGUAGUCC
rnacentral:rRNA from 1 species